GCCCCGCCCUCUGGCCGCCGGCGGUUGUUGUUCGGCGGCGGCGGCCGCAGCCUAGCUUGCAACCUCGGGCCGCCAGCCCGCCAGCCUACCGGCCGGUCCCCGCAACCAUGGAGCUGGAGGUGCCGGACGAGGCGGAGAGCGCCGAGGCAGGUGCCGGGACCGUGGAGGCGGCCUGUGCCGAGGAGAGCGGGGAGGCGGCAGGUCUGGCCCCGAAGAAGACGGCCCCUACAGAGGCCCUGUCGGUGACUGGACAGCCGGGCCCUGGCCACGGGAAGAAGCUGGGUCAUCGGGGUGUGGACGCGUCUGGCGAAACCACAUACAAAAAGACCACAUCCUCCACCCUGAAGGGGGCCAUCCAGCUGGGCAUCGGCUACACCGUGGGCAACCUGAGCUCCAAGCCCGAGCGCGAUGUGCUCAUGCAGGACUUCUACGUGGUGGAGAGCAUCUUCUUCCCCAGUGAAGGCAGCAACCUCACGCCCGCCCACCACUUCCAGGACUUCAGGUUCAAGACCUACGCGCCCGUCGCCUUCCGCUACUUCCGGGAGCUCUUCGGGAUCCGCCCGGACGAUUACCUGUACUCGCUGUGCAAUGAGCCGCUGAUCGAGCUGUCCAACCCCGGCGCCAGCGGCUCCCUCUUCUACGUCACCAGCGACGACGAGUUCAUUAUCAAGACGGUGAUGCACAAGGAGGCCGAGUUCCUGCAGAAGCUGCUGCCCGGCUACUACAUGAACCUCAACCAGAACCCACGGACGCUGCUGCCUAAGUUCUACGGGCUGUACUGCGUGCAGUCGGGGGGCAAGAACAUCCGUGUGGUGGUGAUGAACAACAUCCUGCCACGCGUGGUCAAGAUGCACCUCAAGUUCGACCUCAAGGGCUCCACAUACAAGCGGCGGGCCAGCAAGAAGGAGAAGGAGAAGAGCGCCCCCACCUACAAGGACCUGGACUUCAUCCAGGACAUGCCCGAGGGGCUCAUGCUGGAUGCGGACACCUUCUCUGCUCUGGUCAAGACGCUGCAGCGGGACUGCCUGGUGCUGGAGAGCUUCAAGAUCAUGGACUACAGCCUGCUGCUGGGCGUGCACAACCUCGACCAGCAGGAGCGGGAGCAGCGGUCCCAGGGUGCCCGGAGCACCGCGGAUGAGAAGCGGCCGCUGGGCCAGAAGGCGCUCUACUCCACAGCCAUGGAGUCCAUCCAGGGUGGCGCCGCGCGCGGGGAGGCCGUCGAGGCAGACGACACGAUGGGCGGGAUCCCUGCCGUGAAUGGCCGCGGGGAGCGUCUGCUGCUGCACAUCGGCAUCAUCGACAUCCUGCAGUCCUACAGGCUCAUCAAGAAGCUGGAGCACACCUGGAAGGCUCUCGUCCACGACGGGGACACCGUCUCUGUCCACCGACCCAGCUUCUAUGCCGAGCGCUUCUUCAAGUUCAUGAGCAACACGGUCUUCCGGAAGAACUCCUCCCUGAAGUCAUCGCCGUCCAAGAAGGGCCGUGGUGCCUUGCUGGCUGUCAAGCCCCUCGGGCCCACGGCCGCCUUCUCAGCCAGCCAGAUCCCCUGCGAGCCGGAGGAUGUGCAGUACGACCUGCGGGGGGCCCGCAGCUACCCCACGCUGGAGGACGAAGGCCGGCCCGACCUCCUGCCCUGCACCCCGCCCUCCUUCGAGGAGGCCACCACGGCUUCCAUCGCCACGACCCUGUCCUCCACAUCCCUCUCCAUCCCGGAGCGCUCCCCCUCAGAGACGUCGGAGCAGCCCCGGUACCGGCGGCGCACGCAGUCCUCAGGGCAGGAUGGCCGGCCCCAGGGGGAGGUGCCCACAGAGGACCUGCAGCAGGUCACAGCACAGGUGGAACCCACGUGCAGCGUGGAGAUCGUGGUUCCUGAGGGGGACACAGGUGCCGACGCUUCCCCAGCCUGCACAGCUGCCGUGGAAGUGGAAACCACCAGCCAGGCUUCAGAGCCCGCCAGCCAGGCCUCAGACGAGGAGGACGCGCCUGCCACUGACAUUUACUUUCCUCUGCCACGCGCCUCCUCACCCCGCCCUUCCUGCACGUCCGCCCGCCCUGCAGCCCACCGAUGAGAGGAGCUGGGUUUACUCCCCGCUUCACUAUAGCGUACAGGCCCACCCGGCCUCCGACGGCGAGAGCGACACCUAGUUUCUACGCUGCCACCCUGCUCGGCCCAGAGCCCGGGAGAAGCCUGCCUCGCCGCUGCCCGACCGCGCGCCCACGCCCUCCCCUCGCCACCGCCGGGCUGCAGAGCGACGGGCGCGCGCCCGGCCCCAGCUUCCCUCAACUACUUAGCCUGUGAUACUGUGAACCUUCGUGAGUUUCCAGUCACGUAUUUAUUUCGGGUCCUUACUCUUUGCACAGAGACAGCAGCACACAAGUGCUUUUUUAGAAAAGGAAAAAGGAAAAAAAAAUACCAGGAAAGAAGAAAGAAACUCCAUUCCACUGUGCUUGUCGGCUCUUUGCAUCUGCACGUGCGGAGCGGGGGUCCAAGGCCUGUGGGCUGUGAGGGCCUGCCUGGUUCACCCACCCUGCCCUCCACCGCGGACAAGCGCCCCGGAGGGAGAGUUCCCGGGGCACGUGCGGAGACUGCCCGGCAGAUGGCCUCGGCUCGGGCUUGUGGGCUGGGCACCAGACGUCCCCCUCGGGUGUGGCUGGCUGGGGGCCUUUGGGAACUGCCCACCCUGCCAGCCCCUUUGGUCUCUCAGUGUCUGUCUCCCACCAUCGCCACCUCCCAGGUGACUUAUGAGCGGGAGCUGCCAGGUGGACGUGGCCACCCCCUCUCCCUGGAGCUCAGGCUGUGGACUUCCCCCGAGUGGACCGCUCAGUAUCCAGAGGGGGCCCAGCCAAGGGAGGGGGCGGCCGGGCCACAGACCAUGGGGCCUCCAGAGAGCAGACGCCCCCGUGAGCACCCCCAGGACUGUGGCAGGCAUCUGCUCUUUUUCAAGUGAUGGUGACUCUCGUGCCAGGGAAAGGCCAGGAGGAGAUAUUCAUGAAACAUGCUUUCUUUUGGGUUUGUCAUAUUCAACAGUGACAGCCACCUUGCGCCCAUUGCCCCAUGGGGUGGCCACCAGGGCCCCGCCAUGUCCAGAGGCUUCGCAGGGGCUCUGCUGCCUGCACAGAGCUGCAGGCCCACCUCCAGAGAGGUGACUUGCAGUGAUUUCCCCUGCCCGCUCUGUGGACCACCACGGGGGUAGGGGGCCCAGGCAUUGCUGCAGUGGAGGCCGCAUCCUCUGGGAAAAUUCCUCCCCAGCCCCUGUUCUCCAGUGAGCCCCAGGGAGCUGGAAAGGCCACUGGCCCAGGCAUGGGAGAUGUUGAGUCUGCCGCAAGCUGCACACAUGCUGCUCUGCCCCAGGAGAUCUGCCAGCCUGGCUGCGUCCUUUCCCCUAGAGAACCAGGCUGCCUGUGGGCAGGGCUGCUGGGGACGCCAGCACAUGGCCCCAGGGAGGCGCCCCGAGGACCCUCAGAAUGAGCCUGCAGGCGUCCCAGACUAGCAAAGCCUCGUCCCCUCCCACCUGCCGAGGAGCAUUUGUCCAGACCCCGGGAAGCAUCCUGGCCUGCAUUUCAGACGGCCUCUGUGUGCAGGCGCCCCAGCCACACGCCGCUGAGCUGCUAGUCUGUCCCUGCCCAAUCCCACCAGCAGGGAGUGGUCUGAGCGGGCAGAAGUCCAGGAGAAUCUGGGACCUCCAUGACUAGCAGGGUGGCUGUGCCACCUAUAUGCUGAUGUUGGCUGGCACCAGGGACUUGGUGUGCCCAUGGGGACGACCAGAGCCACAGGCAGGCAUGGUCCUGAGGCUGUGGGACCCCCGCCUAGAGUGCCCUCAGCCACCCGCAGCUUCAAGAGCGAAGAGAGGAGCUGCCUGUGAAGCCCAUCAGGCCUUCCUGAGUGCACCACGGAAAAAAGGCGUCAAUUGGAUGCUGACCUGUAGGAAAAAUGUGCAAACCUGGAUGUUACAGCGUUUCUGUGCUCGUAUUCAGUCACCCAGACCCUUUUGAGGACCUGUUGUGUGUCGGCUGCAUUCUUUGUCCCUUUUCAGAGAUCUGUCACACAGAUGCUAAGUGGUCCACGGACUGUGCCGAUGGGAGGUGUUUGCGCAUUUUCCAGGCAGGGCCAGAAGGCCAGACCUUAUUUAUAAUGUGUAGCGAAUUCAUGGCCUUCCCCAGGUCCUGGGUGAGGAACGCAGGGGCCCACCCAGCUGCUGCUGCCCCCGGGAUAGAAGUCUGUACAUUCCUUGGUGACUCAUCUCUGGCUGUGGUCACCCAGGACAUGAGCAGGGUCUGGACUGUGGUGCUGGCCUCCAUCCUCUGCCUCCUCACCACCCUGGCCUCGGCUACCCAGCUCAGUGCAAUACCCCCAUCCCCCAUGGGGUCCUUUGCCAUGGUACUGCCACUGCAGACCCCCCUCAGUCCCUGCCCCAGGACAAGUGCCCUCCACCAUCUUUCUCUGGGGGACCAAUUGCAUUGCCUGCCCCACCCCGAUCUCGUUUUUAUGGCCGAAUUGAUUUCAAAACACAACAAGACUGCAAACAUUGUGUGUCUUACUUCAGCCCCGUGGUCUGGUGUGUGACAAUCCAGAACCUGGCCUCUUUGGCCACAGGAUGCCGGCUCGCUCAAACCCAGAGCCGGGGUGCCUCCCUAACCGUGCAGCCCCUGCUGGCCCCAGUAGCACUUGAAUGCAGUCUCAGACCUCUGCCCCCAACCCCCUCCCUCUUUUUACGUUGAAGAGAUCUCUCUAAUAAAUCGGUUAAUAAGCA